rnacentral:rRNA from 1 species
AACGGGGGGAGCUAGUGUUAUUCAUCGUUACUGGGCGUAAAGGGUGCGUAGACUGUUUAAUAUGUUUUAUUGAAAUAAUCUAAGCGUAACUUAGAAAUUCUUUAUUAUACGAUUAAACUAUUGAGGAUAAUACAGGUCAGUUGUAUUCUUAGUGGAAAGGUGAAAUUUUUAGAUAUUGAGAGGACGACCUAUGGGCGAACGCAACCCACCAUGUUAUUACUGACGUUGAAGCACAAAAGCCUAGGUAUCAAACAGG